rnacentral:rRNA from 1 species
GACGAACGCUGGCGGCGUGCUUAACACAUGCAAGUCGAACGGAAAGGCCCUGCUUUUGUGGGGUGCUCGAGUGGCGAACGGGUGAGUAACACGUGAGUAACCUGCCCUUGACUUUGGGAUAACUUCAGGAAACUGGGGCUAAUACCGGAUAGGAGCUCCUGCAGCAUGGUGGGGGUUGGAAAGUUUCGGCGGUUGGGGAUGGACUCGCGGCUUAUCAGCUUGUUGGUGGGGUAGUGGCUUACGAAGGCUUUGACGGGUAGCCGGCCUGAGAGGGUGACCGGCGACAUUGGGACUACGAGACGGCCCAGACUCCUACGGGAGGCAGCAGUGGAGAGUAUUGCAGAAUGGGCGGAAGCGUGAUGCAGCAACGCCGCGUGCGGGAUGACGGCCUUCGGGUUGUAAACCGCUUUCGCCUGUGACGAAGCGUGAGUGACGGUAAUGGGUAAAGAAGCACCGGCUAACUACGUG